UACGGAGGGUGCAAGCGUUGUCCGGAUUUAUUGGGUUUAAAGGGUGCGUAGGUGGCCUGUUAAGUCAGUGGUGAAAGACAGCCGCUCAACGGUUGAGGUGCCAUUGAUACUGACGGGCUUGAAGCAGACAGAGGCUGCCGGAAUGGAUGGUGUAGCGGUGAAAUGCAUAGAUAUCAUCCAGAACACCGAUUGCGAAGGCAGGUGGCUAUGUCUGACUUGACACUGAGGCACGAAAGCAUGGGGAGCAAAC
rnacentral:rRNA from 1 species